UACGAAGGGGGCUAGCGUUGUUCGGAAUUACUGGGCGUAAAGGGCGCGUAGGCGGCCUGUUAAGUUGGAAGUGAAAGCCCCGGGCUCAACCUGGGAAUUGCUUUCGAUACUGGCAGGCUUGAGUUCCGGAGAGGAUGGUGGAAUUCCCAGUGUAGAGGUGAAAUUCGUAGAUAUUGGGAAGAACACCGGUGGCGAAGGCGGCCAUCUGGACGGACACUGACGCUGAGGCGCGAAAGCGUGGGGAGCAAACAGG
rnacentral:rRNA from 2 species